AUGCUUCCCGCUAAAGCACCAGCAGCAGCUAAGAAGAUUGAAGAAUCCAAUAAGCCAUCUACUGAAGUGAAGAAUUCUGCGGUUGCUACUGCACAAAAGAAAAACCAGGAAUUGGACGGCUUUGAUAGUGAUUCUGAUGAUUCAUCAGAUGAGGAUAUGGCCACUAAAAGACCAGUAGCCAAGAAAGUGGUAGAAUCCAGUGAAAGUUCUGAUUCUGACUCUGAGGAGGACACCACUGCUAAACCAGUUCAAUCUUCCAAGGCUGUUGCUGUUAUAAAGAAUCUAGUGAUAGCUCAGAUUCUGAAGAAGAUACCACUGCUAACACAGUUUCUGUAA
rnacentral:rRNA from 1 species